rnacentral:rRNA from 1 species
AAUUCGCCCUUAGUUUGAUCCUGGCUCAGGACGAACGCUGGCGGCGCGCUUAACACAUGCAAGUCGUACGGUCUUCUGGUUUUCGGACCAGGAGGCAGUGGCGAACGGGUGCGUAACACGUGAGCGACCUGCCGAGGUGUGGGGGACAACCAGUGGAAACGCUGGCUAAUACCGCAUGACGCCAUCUGCCUGCAUGGGCGGAUGGCCAAAGGUCCUGCAAGGGACUGCGCUUCGAGGGGCUCGCGGGGUAUCAGGUAGUUGGGUGGGGUAACGGCCCACCAAGCCAACGACGCCUAGCUGAUCUGAGAGGAUGAUCAGCCACAUUGGGACUGAGAUACGGCCCAGACUCCUACGGGAGGCAGCAGUGGGGAAUCUUGCGCAAUGGUCGAAAGACUGACGCAGC